rnacentral:lncRNA from 1 species
UUUCCAUCUUUGUUCAAGGAGAAACCGACCGCGAUUUACCAGGGAAUGCGGUGGUCACACGGUCCCACCUUCCCCGUGGGCCAGGAGCAAACCCCAGCGUCCGGCUUCCCUGCUGGGUGCUGCUUCCCUGUCACCACAGGAGGGCGAGAGAGACAUGCCACAGGUCAGCUCCCUUCCGCGGAGGGUGUCCA